rnacentral:piRNA from 1 species
GUAGAUCCUAGGGGCUGGAGAGAUGA